GACGAACGCUGGCGGCGUGCCUAAUACAUGCAAGUAGAACGCUGAAGGAGGAGCUUGCUUCUCUGGAUGAGUUGCGAACGGGUGAGUAACGCGUAGGUAACCUGCCUGGUAGCGGGGGAUAACUAUUGGAAACGAUAGCUAAUACCGCAUAAUAGUAGAUGUUGCAUGACAUUUGCUUAAAAGGUGCAAUUGCAUCACUACCAGAUGGACCUGCGUUGUAUUAGCUAGUUGGUGGGGUAACGGCUCACCAAGGCGACGAUACAUAGCCGACCUGAGAGGGUGAUCGGCCACACUGGGACUGAGACACGGCCCAGACUCCUACGGGAGGCAGCAGUAGGGAAUCUUCGGCAAUGGACGGAAGUCUGACCGAGCAACGCCGCGUGAGUGAAGAAGGUUUUCGGAUCGUAAAGCUCUGUUGUAAGAGAAGAACGAGUGUGAGAGUGGAAAGUUCACACUGUGACGGUAUCUUGCCAGAAAGGGACGGCUAACUACGUG
rnacentral:rRNA from 1 species